rnacentral:rRNA from 1 species
CCUACGGGGGGCUGCAGUGGGGAAUAUUGCACAAUGGGGGAAACCCUGAUGCAGCGACGCCGCGUGAGUGAAGAAGUAUUUCGGUAUGUAAAGCUCUAUCAGCAGGGAAGAAAAUGACGGUACCUGACUAAGAAGCCCCGGCUAACUACGUGCCAACAGCCGCGGUAAUACGUAGGGGGCAAGCGUUAUCUGGAUUUUGUGGGUGUAAAGGGAGCGUAGACGGCAAGACAAGUCAGGAGUGAAAGCCCAGGGCUCAACCCUGGGACUGCUUUUGAAACUGCCGGGCUGGAGUGCAGGAGAGGUAAGCGGAAUUCGUGGUGUAGCGGUGAAAUGCGUAGAUAUUAGGAGGAACACCGGUGGCGAAGGUAGCUUACUGGACCGUAACUGACGUUGAUGCUCGAAAGCGUGGGUAGCGAACAGGAUUAGAUACCCCUGUAGUC